CACACCCAGGACACGUACACCCAUGUGCACACACGCCCAGCACACACAAGCACCCAGUGCACACACCCCCAGUAACCCGUGUGCACAUACAGUACACACGCCCGUACAUACCCAUGCAUGUACACACGAUUACACACCCCAGUGCACAUGCACACACACCCACAGUGCACGCACUCCCUGUCGUGCGCACACACACCAUCGUGCACACACAUGUACAAACAGGCACACUCCCAGUGUGCGCACACACAUCCUUGAAUGACAGGAGCCAAAAGGUGUGCAGAGCACAGUCCGACCUCCAGAAAAGGAACGAAAAUGGGGACUGACAACGGGAGGGAGUGACAGCCACCUGGCCCAACUUCCCAGAAGCCGAUAUUGAAAGGACACUGCUGGGCCCAUCACAAAUCAGGACAGCCAAGUCUCAGAGCACUGGCCUUGCUCCAGGCGCUGCUUUGAGGGGGGCCCCUUCACCCCCAUUUCACAGAUGAGGAAACAGUGGUUCCAUUCCCUGCCAGCGCAUGUGGCUCAGAAGGGCUGUGCGGACAGUGGACCAUGUGGAACAAGACAUUCCUGGCAAGCCCCCACCUUCCCAGAGGAAGUUCUGGAGGGGAUGGAGCCACGGGGGUGGGCCUGCCGCACCCACAGAGCCCGCCCACGUCCGUGAGGCUGGGGUCUGGGGACUGCAGGUGGCAGGCGGCCUCUCGAACAGCAACGGAGUCACAGAGGAGCCACGGCCACCGAGAGCCUCCUGCCUGUGCUCAGGAGUCCCACCGUGACUCAGGUAAAGGCAGCCAGGACGCAGCAGGCCGGGUGCAGGAGAGCCGCCCCCAGCUGCGUCCUGGAGCUCUGACUACUCCUCCUGCCUGCAUCCUCUUUCACUUGCUGCCCCAACGCCUAGAAAGUCCUUUGCCCCUUACUGUACUCUGAAGACUCCUACACACUCCUCAGAACCCAGCACGGAGGUGGCUCCCGAGGCUUGGCCAUUGAGAGGGAAGGCGCGCAGUGCCACAGAUCACUGCCCAGGGCCCUGAGGAGGCGGGCGGCACGCAGCAGCCGGGGACAGCAGCUCACGCCAGAACCAUUUCUGUGGGAGCGUGCACUGGCGGGUGCCCAGUCUCCCUGUGCCCCCCACAGGGAAGGGCCCUGGCACGUGGAGCCCCAGGGCAUCCCAGGGAAGCCACAGGCCCUCUCUGCUCCCCACCACGUGGCUGCUGGUCCGUCCGUUGCCCCCAUUCCCGUUGCCAGCAACCACCUCCUGGAGGCGGGACACCUCACGGGUGGGAGUCACGCAGAGAAGACAAGUGGCGCCUUCACCCAGGGCCUCUGCGAGUUCCUGGCACCCCAGGGCCUUCCCUGCACAACACAGAUUUGCUGGGACAGACCCAGGCUUGAGACCAAGCUUGCCAGGACUGGGCACCCCCCCGAGGGCUACGUGCGUCCUCCCCAGUGUGUCCUGUUCUCCUGCAGAGUCUGAAAGGAAUAAAGUGACAGUUCAA